GCAAUGUUGAUUCAGUGUUAGAAUUCUCACCUUCCAUGUGAAAGAUCCAGGUUUGACUCCUGACCAAUGUA
rnacentral:tRNA from 1 species